CCUACGGGCGGCUGCAGUGGGGAAUAUUGGACAAUGGGCGAAAGCCUGAUCCAGCCAUGCCGCGUGUGUGAAGAAGGCCUUCGGGUUGUAAAGCACUUUCAGUGGGGAAGAAAGCCUUGGGGCUAAUACCCUCGAGGAAGGACAUCACCCACAGAAGAAGCACCGGCUAACUCCGUGCCAGCAGCCGCGGUAAUACGGAGGGUGCGAGCGUUAAUCGGAAUUACUGGGCGUAAAGCGCGCGUAGGCGGUCUGAUAAGCCGGUUGUGAAAGCCCCGGGCUCAACCUGGGAACGGCAUCCGGAACUGUCAGGCUAGAGUGCAGGAGAGGAAGGUAGAAUUCCCGGGGUAGGGGUGAAAUGCGUAGAGAUCGGGAGGAAUACCAGUGGCGAAGGCGGCCUUCGGGACUGACACGGACGCUGAGGUGCGAAAGCGUGGGUAGCAAACAGGAUAGAUACCCCGGUAGUC
rnacentral:rRNA from 1 species